rnacentral:rRNA from 1 species
UACCAGCACCCCGAGUGGUCGGGACGAUUAUUGGGCCUAAAGCAUCCGUAGCCGGUCAUGCAAGUCUUCCGUUAAAUCCAGCCGCUCAACGGUUGGGCUGCGGAGGAUACUACGUGGCUAGGAGGCGGGAGAGGCAAGCGGUACUCAGUGGGUAGGGGUAAAAUCCUUUGAUCCAUUGAAGACCACCAGUGGCGAAGGCGGCUUGCCAGAACGCGCUCGACGGUGAGGGAUGAAAGCUGGGGGAGCGAACGGG